UUUUGAUUUUGAUACUAAUUUUUUAAACUUUACAAAUUAUAUUAGUCGAAUGAAGUUUGAUUUUAAAUUGUACUUUUGAAUGUUAAUGUUUAAUUUUUUAUUUUUUUAUUUUUGCUUGUUAAUUUUUUAAAUAUUAAUUAUGAUUUUCGAAUUUUAUUUUUAAAUUUUGUUUUAUAAUUUUACUUCUAAUUUUAUUUUACUUAAUUUUACGCAACUAUAAUUAAUUAACAUUACUAUUAUAAGAAAAAAUCAAAAUGGUCAUGUCUAACUAUUGUAUAAAAUAAUCCAUUAUAUAUAUUUUUUUUUCAUGACUGUAAUAAAGAUUGUAAAUAACGAAUGUUCAAAAAAAAAAAAAAAAAAAAAAAAAAAAAAAAAAAAAAAAAAAAAAAAAAAAAAAAAAAAAAAAAAAAAAAAAAAAAAAAAAGUAAAACACCAAUGACAUGAUCUACACUUGAACAGACAGAGACACUACCAGAGUAUAAAGUUACAUCUUGGAGAAAAAAAAAAAAAAAAAUAGAGAUAAAAAAAAAUUACAAUUAAAAAAUAUUAGGUGAAAAUUGAUAAAACAACUAAGAAAAAAAAAAUACAUAAUAAUAACUACAUGACAUUUGCAUCAAGUUACUUUUGAUUUUAAGUAUUACAUUUCUAAACGUGUGACAUGACAACGAAAA
rnacentral:misc_RNA from 1 species